UCUCUACUUAUUAAGAAGAUUGUUCUUCCUGUCCCCAACUUAACAAAGAAAAGUAAUCUGCCAAAUAUAUUAACUUAAUGAUUGAGACUUGCCACUCGCUCCAUUCUUUCUAGAGAAAUUUUUAAUUUUAUAUAUCACAUAUUAGAUGCUACAUUUCAAAUUUACUGUAAAAAUAAUCAUUUCCAUAAAUAUCUUAAGUCUGUGAUGAAAAAUAACUAAACUAACAUUUAUUAAUGUUAAUAAUAAUUUAUAAAACAUUAAUAGAAGGUUAUAAAUUCUACCUUACCCCCUAAAUAUUAAACCCUAAAUAAUAAUCACUAAAUAAUAAAAUUUUAAAAUUCAGUGUUUUAAAAAAAUAUGGUAGUAUGGUAUUGUAAUUUC
rnacentral:lncRNA from 1 species